GCCGGGGUACCCAAGCCAGGAUAAGGGGCGGGCCUUGAGAGCCCGUGGCCGCAAGGCCUCGUGGGUUCAAAUCCCACCCCCGGCG
rnacentral:tRNA from 2 species